UACGGAGGGUGCGAGCGUUGUCCGGAAUCACUGGGCGUAAAGGGCGCGUAGGUGGUGCAGGAAGUCAACGGUGAAAGUUCGGGGCUCAACCCUGAAUCGGCCGUCGAUACUCCUGGGCUCGAGCACUGUAGAGGCAGAUGGAAUUCCGGGUGUAGCGGUGGAAUGCGUAGAGAUCCGGAAGAACACCGGUGGCGAAGGCGGUCUGCUGGGCAGUUGCUGACACUGAGGCGCGACAGCGUGGGGAGCAAACAGG
rnacentral:rRNA from 1 species